UGUUUACUACUCCCCUUUCUGUGUCCAUGUGUUCUCAUUUUUCAUCACCCACCUAUGAGUGAGAAUAUGCAGUUUCAAUUUCUGUUCUUGUGUCAGUUUGCUGAGGAUGAUGUUCUCCAGAUUCAUGCAUGUCCCUACAAACGACACAAACUCAUCAUUUCUGAUUGCUGCAUAAUAUUCCAUGGUAUAUAUGUGCCACAUUUUUCCAAUCCUUCCUGACACCUUACACAUUGAUUGGAAAAUAAUGGGACCCUGCAACUUGGAAUUUGAAUGUGUGGGAGGAUGCUGAUGAAUCUGGGUUUGUAAACUCUGAUGAACCUUUUUCAACAGAAGAAACAUCUUCCCUAUCCCCAGUAGUGG
rnacentral:lncRNA from 1 species